rnacentral:rRNA from 1 species
AAGGUGACUGCCGGCUAAAAGUCGGAGGAAGGUGGGGAUGACGUCAAAUCAUCAUGCCCUUAUGACCUGGGCUACACACGUGCUACAAUGGGCGGUACAAAGGGUCGCGAACCCGCGAGGGGGAGCCAAUCCCAAAAAAGCCGCUCUCAGUUCGGAUUGCAGGCUGCAACUCGCCUGCAUGAAGCCGGAAUCGCUAGUAAUCGCGGAUCAGCAUGCCGCGGUGAAUACGUUCCCGGGCCUU